rnacentral:rRNA from 1 species
AUUGAACGCUGGCGGCAGGCCUAACACAUGCAAGUCGAGCGUGCCGCGUACGGGAGAAUAGUGUAUGGGAAUCUGCCUGCUGGCGGGGUAUCACUACUGGACACGGUCGAAAAUACCGCAUACCAUGAGGUGCCCCUAUAUGGGAUUAGCUUGUAGGUGGGGUAACGGCUCACCUAGGCGACGAUCCCGAGCUGGUCUGAGAGGAUGAUCAGCCACACUGGAACUGAGACACGGCCCAGACUCCUACGGGAGGCAGCAGUGGGGAAUAUUGCACAAUGGGCGCAAGCCUGAUGCAGCCAUGCCGCGUGUAUGAAGAAGGCCUUCGGGUUGUAAAGUACUUUCAGUCGGGAGGCGUUACCGACAGAAGAAGCACCGGCUAACUCCGUGCCAGCCGCCGCGGUAAUUC